UGCGGAAUUUUGCGCAAUGGGGGAAACCCUGACGCAGCAACGCCGCGUGAGUGAUGAAGGCCUUCGGGUCGUAAAGCUCUGUCAAGUGGGAAGAAACAGUAUAAUGUCAAUACCAUUAUACACUGACGGCACCACUGAAGGAAGCACCGGCUAACUCCGUGCCAGCAGCCGCGGUAAUACGGGGGGUGCGAGCGUUAUUCGGAUUCAUUGGGCGUAAAGGGCGCGCAAGCGGUUUUGUAAGUCAGAUGUGAAAUCCCGGGGCUUAACCUCGGAAGAGCAUAUGAAACUAUGAGACUUGAGUAUGGGAGAGGGAAGCGGAAUUCCUGGUGUAGCGGUGAAAUGCGUAGAUAUCAGGAGGAACACCGGUGGCGAAGGCGGCUUCCUGGNCCAAUACUGACGCUGAGGCGCGAAGGCGUGGGUAGCNAACAGGAUUAGAUACCCUGGUAGUCCACGCAGUAAACGUUGAUCACUAGGUGUAGCGGGUAUUGACCCCUUCUGUGCCGGAGCUAACGCAUUAAGUGNUCCGCCUGGGAGUACNNCGC
rnacentral:rRNA from 1 species